rnacentral:rRNA from 1 species
GACGAACGCUGGCGGCGUGCUUAACACAUGCAAGUCGAGCGGAAAGGCCCUGGAGUUGUGGGUUGCUCGUUUGCGGAAGGCGUGAGUAACACUAGAGUAUACCCCCCCUGACUCUGGGAUAACAUUAGGAAACCGGGGCUCAUACCGGAUAGGAGCUCCUGCUGCAUAGGGGGGGUUAGAAAGAUUCGGGGGUGGGGGAGGGACUCGCGGCUUUUCGGCUUGUUGGUGGGGUAGUGGCGUACCAGGCCUCCCAGGGGUAGCCGACCUGAGAGGGUGACCGGCGCCAUGGGGACUGAGCUACGGCCCAGACUCGUACGGGACGCAGCAGUGUGGAAUAUUGCACAAUGGAGGGAAGCCUGGUGCAGCAACGCCGCGUGCGGGAUGAUAGGCUUCGGGUUGUGAACCAAUUUGGCAUGUGCCGGAGCGUGAGUGACGGUAAUGGAUAAAGAAGCACCGGCUAACUACGUG